rnacentral:rRNA from 1 species
CAAUAGCGUAUAUUUAAGUUGUUGCAGUUAAAAAGCUCGUAGUUGGAUUUCGGGUAGGAUUUGCCGGUCCGUCUUUGAGAUGUGUACUGGUAAGUCCUAUCUUCUUGUCGGGGACCAGCUCCUGGGCUUCACUGUCCGGGACUGGGAGCCGACGAAGUUACUUUGAGUAAAUUAGAGUGUUCAAAGCAAGCCUACGCUCUGAAUAUAUUAGCAUGGAAUAACACGAUAGGACUCUGGCUUAUCUUGUUGGUCUGUGAGACCAGAGUAAUGAUUAAGAGGGACAGUCGGGGACAUUCGUAUUUCAUUGCCAGAGGUGAAAUUCUUGGAUUUAUGAAAGACGAACUUCUGCGAAAGCAUUUGUCAAGGAUGUUUNCAUUAA